AGUGAACGCUGGCGGUAGGCCUAACACAUGCAAGUCGAACGGCAGCACAGUAAGAGCUUGCUCUUACGGGUGGCGAGUGGCGGACGGGUGAGGAAUACAUCGGAAUCUACUUUUUCGUGGGGGAUAACGUAGGGAAACUUACGCGAAUACCGCAUACGACCUACGGGUGAAAGCAGGGGAUCUUCGGACCUUGCGCGAUUGAAUGAGCCGAUGUCGGAUUAGCUAGUUGGCGGGGUAAAGGCCCACCAAGGCGACGAUCCGUAGCUGGUCUGAGAGGAUGAUCAGCCACACUGGAACUGAGACACGGUCCAGACUCCUACGGGAGGCAGCAGUGGGGAAUAUUGGAUAAUGGGCGCAAGCCUGAUCCAGCCAUACCGCGUGGGUGAAGAAGGCCUUCGGGUUGUAAAGCCCUUUUGUUGGGAAAGAAAAGCAGCAGGUUAAUACCCCGCUGUUCUGACGGUACCCAAAGAAUAAGCACCGGCUAACUUCGUG
rnacentral:rRNA from 1 species